rnacentral:rRNA from 1 species
UACGAAGGGGAGCUAGCGUUGCUCGGAAUUACUGGGCGUAAAGCGCACGUAGGCGGAUUGCUAAGUCAGGGGUGAAAUCCUGGAGCUCAACUCCAGAACUGCCUUUGAUACUGGCGACCUUGAGUCCGGGAGAGGUGAGUGGAACUGCGAGUGUAGAGGUGAAAUUCGUAGAUAUUCGCAAGAACACCAGUGGCGAAGGCGGCUCACUGGCCCGGUACUGACGCUGAGGUGCGAAAGCGUGGGGAGCAAACAGG